CUCUAAACAAGUAGUAGAUAAAUACUUAAAAAUUAAAAAAUUUGGCGGUGAUUUAAUCUGUUCAGAGGAACUUGUUUUUUAAUCGAUAAACCACGUUAAAUCUUACUUGUCUUAGUAGAUCAGUAUGUAUACCAUCAUUAACAGGUAAUUUUAAAAAGAAACAAUUGCUGAAAAUAAUUGAUUAAAAAAAUUAGAUCAUGGUGCAGCUUAUAGACAAGGUAAAAUGAGUUACAAUAAAGUAUUUUAGAUGAAUUAAUGGAGGAAGAUGUUCAUUAUAAAGGUGGAUUUGAUUGUAAGUGUGGAUUAAUAAGCUUAUCUGAUAUUGGUGCUAAAUCAUGUACAUAUCGCCCGUCGCUUUCGCUAACCGAAAUAAGUCGUAACAUA
rnacentral:rRNA from 1 species